rnacentral:rRNA from 1 species
UAGCCUUGACAUACUACAGAAUUUGACAGAGAUGUUGAAGUGCCUUCGGGAGCUGUAAUACAGGUGCUGCACGGCUGUCGUCAGCUCGUGUCGUGAGAUGUUGGGUUAAGUCCCGCAACGAGCACAACCCUCGUCCUUAGUUACUAACGGUUCGGCCGAGGACUCUAAGGAGACUGCCUUCGUAAGGAGGAGGAAGGUGAGGACGACGUCAAGUCAUCAUGGCCCUUACGGCUAGGGCAACACACGUGCUACAAUGGUUAGGACAAUGAGAAGCGAUACCGCGAGGUGGAGCAAAUCUAUAAACCUAAUCUCAGUUCGGAUAGCAGUCUGCAACUCGACUGCUUGAAGCUGGAAUCACUAGUAAUCGUAAAUCAGCUAUGUUACGGUGAAUACGUUCCCGGGUCU